rnacentral:rRNA from 1 species
UACAGAGGUCCCGAGCGUUGUUCGGAUUCACUGGGCGUAAAGGGUGCGUAGGUGGCAUGGUAAGUUUGAUGUGAAAGCUCAGGGCUUAACCCUGAAAUGGCAUUGAAUACUAUCGUGCUGGAGGUUUGGAGGGGGGACUGGAAUUCUUGGUGUAGCAGUGAAAUGCGUAGAUAUCAAGAGGAACACCAGUGGCGAAGGCGAGUCCCUGGACAACACCUGACACUGAGGCACGAAAGCCGGGGGAGCAAACAGG